rnacentral:misc_RNA from 1 species
AUGAAGUUGAAGUGGUCGGACCAAAUGGGCGAUCUGAACCUCCCACGACUUUCGCUUUAGUUUGUGGUCGAGCAACUCAAUCAAGACAGACAUCUGCCUCUAGUAGAGAAAAUCUCCCUGUGGAUGGGUUGCCAUCGGUCCUUCAGGAAACCGAUUUGCAAUCCAUUAGUCAAGAAUAUAACCUUCGAACCGAUUCCUUUGAGCUUAUUAGAUGCCAUGGCGAUCUCAGAGCUGAUCACUCUUUUGAGGAAAAUGAUGCGAUCAUGGUGU